rnacentral:snoRNA from 1 species
GUGCCGUGAUGUAACUGUCAACACAUCAUUCCGAAGCAGAAUUGUGUGGAGACUUUUCGUAACUGAGCACC